rnacentral:tRNA from 1 species
AGGGGAGUGGCUCAACGGUAGAGCAACGGUCUCCAAAACCGUUGGUUGCGUGUUCGAAUCGCGUCUCCCCUGCCA